GCAGGUCUUUUCUAUGCUAUUCUCAUGAAAAUAAGUAAGUCUCACAAGAUCUGAUUGUUUUAUAAAGAGAAGUUUCCUCGCAGAAGUUCUUUUCUCCUGUCUACUGCCAGGUGAGACAUCACCUUCCACCCAUGAUUGUGAAGCCUCCCAGGCCACAUGGCACUGUGAGUCAAUGAAACCUUUCUUUUGUAAAUUGCCCAGUCUUGGAUAUGUCUUUAUCAGGAGCAAGAAAACAUGCUAAUGCAGUAAAUUGGUACUGGUAGUGUAGGAUGCAGCUGAAAAGAUACCUGAAAAUGUGAAAGUGACUUUGGAACUGGGUAACAGGCAGAGGCUGGAACAGUUCGGAGGCUCAGAAGAACCAGGAAAAUGUGGAAAUGUUUGGAACUCCAACUCCCUAGAGACUUGUUGAAUGGCUUUGACCAAAAUGCUGAUAAUGACAUAGACAAAGGCAUCCAGGCUGAGGUGAUGUCAGAUGGAUAUGAGGAACUUGUUGAGAAAGAGCAAAAAUGACUCUUGUUAUUUUAGCAGCAUUUGCCCCUGCACUAGAGAUCUGAGGAACUUUGAACUUGAGAGAGAUGAUUUGCAGUAUCUGGCAGAAGACAUUUCUAAGAAGCAAAGCAUUCAAGAGAUUGAAUCCCAGAUUCCACCUGGAAAAAGGAGGGAUCAGCUCCUCCCCGCUGCAAAUGGUACAAACUUCUGUGACUCCACCGCAAUGUGCACACAUCCCAGUGCGCAGGCCAGCCGGGGUUUUCCAGGAACCCCUUUACACCAGCUGUCUCUUUAAGUGAUAUAAACAAACAUCAAAUAUAAGCCCAUUAUUGCAGACUAUGCCUUGGAUAUGACAAAUAUCAAUCAAUUGAUUGUUGUACACAACUAGUAAAAUAGAAAACCUAGGAGUAAUUUUUACUGCUUUUUGCCAACUGAAAGCUAUCUAUGACUUACUCAACAAAGAAGUUCUGGACAUUAUACCUUGACAUUGAACGACUGACAACACCCAUAUAGUCUUUUGACAGUAGAGCUGAAAUGAAAGAUAUAGACAGCAUUCUUUUAAAAUAAGUGCACAGAAUAUGUCGGUGAGCAGCUCAUUCUAUAAAAUCUCAUGAGGACCCACUUCCAGGACAUCCUGAAACUGUGGACUAUUUGCAUACCUUUUCAACAAUUCUAUAUUUACACAGUGUUUUUUCAGGUUUGUCUCAAAGGUGGGGUUUUUUUAAAUGCACACACCCAGUUGGAUUUUUCUGUAAAUAAUCUAAUUUAAUGAGAUGGUCCAUCCAGCAAAGUUGUUCAGAUUUUGGAAGAUGGUACAAUGAUAUUUUAAAUUCUCUAAAAUGUAUUUUAGAGAUGCAGAAGAGAAGCUUAAACUCAAACAAGAUACACAUUUAUUUUAAAGGUUGAUGAAGCUCAAAUAUAGCAUUUUAAACUUCAAGUUGUAAUGACAUUUUGGAAGAUUUCAAUAAAACAUCAUAAAGUACUGACAAACUAUUUUGUCUUCAG
rnacentral:lncRNA from 1 species